UACGUAAGGGACAAGCGUUGUCCGGAAUCACUGGGCGUAAAGCGCACGUAGGCGGUUACGCAAGUCAGGGGUGCAAGCUCCAGGCCUAACCUGGAAACUGCCUCUGAAACUACGUUACUUGAGUGUUAGAGGGGAAGCUGGAAUUCACGGUGUAGCGGUGAAAUGCGUAGAUAUCGUGGAGAACACCCGUGGCGAAGGCGGGCUUCUGGCUAACAACUGACGCUGAGGUGCGAAAGCUAGGGGAGCGAACGGG
rnacentral:rRNA from 1 species